UACGGGAGGCAGCAGUGGGGAAUAUUGCACAAUGGGCGCAAGCCUGAUGCAGCCAUGCCGCGUGUAUGAAGAAGGCCUUCGGGUUGUAAAGUACUUUCAGUCGUGAGGAAGGUGUUAAGGUUAAUAACCUUAGCAAUUGACGUUAGCGACAGAAGAAGCACCGGCUAACUCCGUGCCAGCAGCCGCGGUAAUACGGAGGGUGCGAGCGUUAAUCGGAAUUAUUGGGCGUAAAGAGCUCGUAGGCGGUUUUGUCGCGUCUGUCGUGAAAGUCCGGGGCUUAACCCCGGAUCUGCGGUGGGUACGGGCAGACUAGAGUGCAGUAGGGGAGACUGGAAUUCCUGGUGUAGCGGUGGAAUGCGCAGAUAUCAGGAGGAACACCGGAUGGCGAAGGCAGGGUCUCUGGGGCUGUAACUGACGCUGAGGAGCGAAAGCAUGGGGAGCGAACAGGGAUU
rnacentral:rRNA from 1 species